rnacentral:rRNA from 1 species
AUUGAACGCUGGCGGAAUGCUUUACACAUGCGAGUCGAACGGCAGCACGGACUUCGGUCUGGUGGCGAGUGGCGAACGGGUGAGUAAUACAUCGGAACGUGCCCAGCCGUGGGGGAUAACGUAGCGAAAGCUACGCUAAUACCGCAUACGAUCUAAGGAUGAAAGCGGGGGAUCGCAAGACCUCGCGCGAUUGGAGCGGCCGAUGGCAGAUUAGGUAGUUGGUAGGGUAAAGGCCUACCAAGCCGACGAUCUGUAGCUGGUCUGAGAGGAUGAUCAGCCACACUGGGACUGAGACACGGCCCAGACUCCUACGGGAGGCAGCAGUGGGGAAUUUUGGACAAUGGGCGCAAGCCUGAUCCAGCCAUUCCGCGUGCAGGAUGAAGGCCUUCGGGUUGUAAACUGCUUUUGUACAGAACGAAAAGGCUCUGGUUAAUACCCGGGGCUCAUGACGGUACUGUAAGAAUAAGCACCGGCUAACUACGUGCCAGCAGCCGCCGUAA